UACGUAGGGUGCAAGCGUUGUCCGGAAUUAUUGGGCGUAAAGAGCUCGUAGGCGGCUCGGUAAGUCGGGUGUGAAAACUCGGGGCUCAACCCCGAGACGCCACUCGAUACUGCCAUGGCUAGAGUCCGGUAGGGGAGCGUGGAAUUCCUGGUGUAGCGGUGAAAUGCGCAGAUAUCAGGAGGAACACCGGUGGCGAAGGCGGCGCUCUGGGCCGGAACUGACGCUGAGGAGCGAAAGCGUGGGGAGCAAACAGG
rnacentral:rRNA from 1 species